rnacentral:rRNA from 1 species
CAGCAGCAGCCGCGGUAAUACAGAGGGUGCGAGCGUUAAUCGGAUUUACUGGGCGUAAAGCGUGCGUAGGCGGCUUUUUAAGUCGGAUGUGAAAUCCCUGAGCUUAACUUAGGAAUUGCAUUCGAUUCUGGAAAGCUAGAGUAUGGGAGAGGAUGGUAGAAUUCCAGGUGUAGCGGUGAAAUGCGUAGAGAUCUGGAGGAAUACCGAUGGCGAAGGCAGCCAUCUGGCCUAAUACUGACGCUGAGGUACGAAAGCAUGGGGAGCAAACAGGAUUAGAUACCCCUGUAGUCCCUGUCUCUUAUAC